rnacentral:rRNA from 1 species
UACGGAGGGGGUUAGCGUUGUUCGGAAUUACUGGGCGUAAAGCGCGCGUAGGCGGACAUUUAAGUUAGAGGUGAAAUCCCAGGGCUCAACCCUGGAACUGCCUUUAAUACUGGGUGUCUCGAGGUCGAGAGAGGUGAGUGGAAUUCCGAGUGUAGAGGUGAAAUUCGUAGAUAUUCGGAGGAACACCAGUGGCGAAGGCGGCUCACUGGCUCGAUACUGACGCUGAGGUGCGAAAGCGUGGGGAGCAAACAGG